UAAUUUUCCCAAAGGAGGCAAAUGCUCACAGUUAAAACACAACGAAAGUUUUAGUUCCCUUAGAUUGGUUAGCGAAGUCAACCAUUUGGGAAAAAUGUUGCCUCCGUAGCAUUUAAUCCUUAACUCCUCUACAUUCACAGGCGGUUGUAAGGCUUCAAGAAGUUGUUUAUCUUUCUCAUUCUUCCUCCUCCCUUCUUCACCUUCCAUAUCUACGACUCCAAACAGAAGAUGCAAACGAAGGAGGUUUUUCUUAUUGUAAAGUUGUAACCUCUUAGCCUCAUCUACAUGCGAUACAUUACUCAGUUCUUCUACUCUACAUUCACGAAGGAGUUGAAGAUUUUUCAGAGAUUCAAGCCUACACGUGCUGCCGCCAUCAACACCUCCACCCACAACAAACCUUUCUAAUGUUCGAAGGCUGGUCAAUCUGGAAAUCCCUAUUGGCAGGUACUCCAACGAAGAAGUUUUAGCAUUCAGUAAACUCCUCAUGUUCAUUAACUUCCCAAUCCCCGCUGGCAAUUCUCUAAGAUUUCGGCACCGCCUAAUAUCUAGCUUUUGUAAAUUAUAUAAUUCACACAAAGUCUCAGGUUGUCUCUCUAUACACAGUCCAGACAAAUUAAGAUAUUUUAAAUGUAUCAAUUUUCCGACAUUUUCUGGAAUUUCUCUAAUCAAAUUUGGGUCAAAAUAAAAAGGAUAAAAAUAUACGAAUGAUUGCCUUAUAACUAAUGUCCUUAAACACGCCAAUUUACUAAAUAACUCCUGAAGGAUACUACUAUUAAGACUCAGAUUGGAAUAACUUUCAUCAUAAAUUAAGAGGCUACGCAAUCUAUCAAAUUCAAAAAAGGACGUAGGAAAUGAAGCACCUCUUUCAAAAUUUAACCCUAAGUGACGGACUUUCUCACCAAAAGAGUUUAUGACUGAUUCUUUGGUACCAUUAAUUUCUAGCCACAAACAUUCUUUGCUACUUACAAAUUGAGCAAAAUCAUGUACUAUGUCAUGCAUCUUGCAACUCAUAAUAUCAUCAUCAUCAUUUUUCUCAAACUCUUGAAAGAAAGAGCGUGCUGCUAAAAUGUUGAAACAUUCUUCCCCAGUAAUGUCCAUCUCUUCAUAUUCUUCUGCAUUAAGGUAACCUUGAGCCAUCCAUAGUGAAAUUAGUUCCUCUUUAUUCAUAUUGUAGUCUUUUGGAAAGACAGCACAAUAUGAGAAACACCGUUUUACCAUAGAAUUGGAGGGCAAAUCGUUAUAACUCAACAACAAAGGAGCUAAAAGACCUUGCCCAAUCUCUUCUACUUUCCACAUUUCACUCUUUAAAAUUCUUUGCCACUCAUUUACUGUAAUUUUAGAGCGCAAGAGAUUCCCUAUUACCUUUGCAGCAAGAGGCAGGCCUUUGCACUUCAGUGCAAUUUUUCGCCCAAUUGGUUCUAAUUUUUCACAAUCUUCGAAAGAGCGACUGGAAAAUGCCAACCGCUUGAACAACGACCAACAUUCCUCUUCAGCCAAUUGCUUAAUGAAGAUAAUAUUUGUUGAUCCCAUCAUACGUGCAACUGACUCAUUACGUGUGGUAACUAAAAUUUUACUUCCUUGGAGACCAUUCUUUAGACAAAGGAAGAAUGGUUCCCAUUUAUUUUAACUCCCAUCCCAUACAUCAUCUAAGACAAGAAAAAACUUUUUUCCUUCAAUUGAUCUAUGGAUAUGGCUCGUAAGAGAUUGGAAUUCGUUUAAACUAGGAGCUGACUCACCUAGACCUUCAAUGAUUGCUUUGACAACCCUAAUCUCCUCAAAAGUGUCUGAUACACACACCCAUAUAACUUUUUCAAAAUUUCUUUUCACCUCAUCAUUAUUAUAGGCUAGUUGUGCAAGAGUGGUUUUACCUAUACCCCCUAACCCAACUAGUGAGAUGACAUGAAGGCCUUUUUGUUGUUCACUACUUUCACACAACAACUUGCUUAAGAGCUCAUUUUUCUCAUCAACUCUACCGCAAACCUCUCCCUCAUCAAUCAAGGAGGUGGUUCGCACUCGCUCUGGUUUCUUAACAUUGUUGCUCACAUUCUCAACAAAUUUAAACGUAUCUUUUUGGGAGGCAAUAUCAUCUAGCUUUCCAUUGAUUUCCCUAAUCUUGACGGCAAUGUCAUGACGAAGACUAAGUUGUUUGAAACUACCAAAGCAGUUUGAUACAGCACAAAAGAAGGAGCGUACCUUCUUCUUAUGAGGAGCAAGAGCAAGAGCAUUGUCAUCAUCAACGCCCUCAAUCUGCAAUUUGAGCCUUGCAGUGGUCCACUCCUCCAACACGUCUUCCAUGUCGUAAGAUGCGUCUUUGAGCUGAUCCAGCCAAAAAGUAACAGCAUUGUCGCGCUGCAUUUGCCUUUUCUCUGCAUCUUCCAGCACAGCUCGAAUGGCUCGAAGAUUGCUGGUAAGCUUUUUCACUUCUUCUCGGACACCAGUCACAAGCCUCACGUGUUGUUUCACUUCAUCAGCCGCAACGGAGAUCAGCUGCUCCAGGAGAGAGGAAACGAUCGCAUCAACCAUUCUGACAAAGAAAACGAGAAUUUUGAUGAGUUAUUAGAUGUGCUUUUGUUGCGAAGAUAUGAAAGAAAAGGAGUUAUUGCGUUCUUUUAUACUGCAUAGAAAAAGCUUAUGCUUAUCCCCACCCCACACGUCAAUGAUUGUAGAAUGUUUAUUUUCCCUGAUUCUACUCCACUAGUUGUGAUGCGUAAUUAUAAAUAUUCUCAAGUUAUGUAUGAAAAUAGCACAAAUUUGGAUCUAGUAAUGAUUUUUAUGUACUUUUUCAUCAUCUUCUAAAAUACCAUCUCUGCAUGUGCACGAAAUAUGGAAUUGGGUGAAAAAAGUUAUGCUUAUCCCCACCCACACGUUAGUAAUUGUAGUAGCAUCUUUAAUUUCCAUGAUUCUACUCCACGGACGAACACAUUUUUUGUAGUAACAUCUUUAAAUUCCCACACGUUAGGAAUUUGGCACAUAUCUCAAACUCGUCGCAUCUUUAACGUAUGAAGUUGAUGAAUAAAUUCUUUUCUCAUGUCAAUUUAAAACUCCGAGAUUAUGUGCCAAAUUCCUAACGUGUGGGAAUUUUACCUCCUAAGUAAUCCGGCCCACUACCAAGUGCCAACUUUUUCUCUGUCGAGUUAAUGAUGUUGUUUUGUUUUCCUUGUUUUAAUUAAUGUUGCCGAGAGAAACAGAUCGAUGCAAAUGGCUAGCCAGGUUUUGCAGAAACCGUGAAUGGUCUUGCAUGUGACAUAAAGCUUAAUCAUGUAUAUAUGUGUGUUGACACUUGCCAGUUCAUUUUUGUUAUAAAGAUUAUUGAUACUCAUAAAUGUACUACUUACAAAUCAUAAAUUUUGAGUUUGACACUUUAGUUUCAUUUUGUAAUCCCUACACUCUUUAAAUAUUUGUAACAAUAUAUUUCAAACUUUAACUCAGACGUAAUGAAUGAAGGGGGAUCCUCUUCUUAUAUAAAUUUUUAUUUUUUAACGUUCAAGUUACAUUUGAUUACGUGUACUUAUUAUCUAGUUUUGACUAUCUAAUUACAUUUGAUUACGUGUACUUAUUAUAUAAUUUUUUUUUGAAAUGAUGGAUCUGGUGAGAUUUUUUACAUCUUGGAUCAGUAGGUCAAGAACAGGCAGGGCAGGGCCUUCUCUGAAGUCAAUCUUGUGAGCAACACCAGCUUUUUGGAUAAUUGGCAGCCCCAAUUCAUAAUUUUCUCUAUUGAUGUCCAUGGCCAAAAUCUGCAACCGAAGCUUAUUCUACUCUUAUUAAUCGAGAGAUAAUUUUACCUCUAACUAAUUUAAUUGGGAGGAAAAUCGAGAGAGAUAUCCACUUUGUCCUUAUUAAUUGAGAGAUAAUUUUACCCUUACCCAAUUUAAUUGGAAAGAAAAUCGAAUUCCAACAAUAACUAGGACUCGAAUCCAUGCACUUAAGCUAACUUUAUGCUUUUGGACGCAUGGUUAUAAUGUUCUUUAUUUAAAUCCUAACAAAUGGUGGGACUUGAACUUGUGCCUACAAACAUUGAGUGCUUAGGGGCUGCAAAAUUUCAUAACUUAAUUUUAGUUGAUGUGGCAUGUGCCCUAUCACAUCAAUGUAGAUAAUAAUAAUUAAUACAUUAACAAAAUGAAAAAUAUUAGUUUACAAAAUACAAAUCCAAAUUUUUUGUGUGAGAGGGGAUUUAAAAGGGAGAGACUAAACAAAUGUGGUGAAAAACGACAUGUAUUACUACAACUGAAAAUACGAAGUCUAGGCAAUUGAAAACAUCGGGUUUUUUAUUUAAAUAUCCCCAAUUUGUCCUUAAAUACCAAAUUUAUACCCUAUUAUAUACAUAUACCUCACGAAGAUAGGGAAAGUAAAAAAUAACCUAAAAAAAUCAGGAAUCCGCACAUUUCUUCCUCUUAGUUCAGAAAGAUGUCGAGUACGAAGUCGGGUAAGUCGAGAAUUUAGUCGAGCAAGAAUUGGAGAUAAGUAAGUCAAUUAGGAAGUUGAGUAAGCAUAUUAAGUGAGUCGAGUAUUAAGUGGUUGAGUAUUAAGUAAAAGUCAAGUAAAUUUUUUGAACAAGUCGAGUAAAAUUUAUGUAAUUUUUAAAGAGGUCGAGUAUUAAGUCGGGUAAGUACAUUGGGUCGAGUAUUAAUAUUUUUAAAGAAGUGAAGUCUGAUAAGUUGAGCAUUUAGUCGAGUAAGAAGUUAAGGCAAUUGAAUAAGUCGAGUAUCUAGUUGAGUACAAAGUCGGGUAAGUUGAGCAUUCAGUCGAAUAAGAAGUAAAGACAAUUGAAUAAGUCGAGUGUCUAGUCGAGUACGAAGUCGAGUAUGAAAUCUGGUAAGUUGAGCAUUCAGUCGAGUGAGAAGUGAAGGCAAUUGAAUAAGUCGAGUAUCUAGUCGAGAACGAAGUCGGGUAUGAAGUCUGGUAAGUUGAGCAUUUAGUCGAGUGAGAAGUGAAGACAAUUGAAUAAGUCGAGUAUCUAGUCGAGUACAAAGUCGGGUAUGAAGUAUGGUAAGUUGAGCAUUUAGUCGAGUAAGAAGUGAAGGCAAUUGAAUAAGUCGAAUAUCUAGUCGAGUACGAAGUCAGGUAUAAAGUAUGGUAAGUUGAGCAUUCAGUUGAGUAAGAAGUGAAAGUAAUUGAAUAAGUCGAGUAUCUAGUCGAGUAAUCAAACCAAUUUUCUCCAUAGAGUCUUCAAAGUCAACCUAAAAAUGAAAUGCAGGUGGAAAUGAAAAUUCUAUAAACUAAAUAAAAUAAAAUGCAAUUCUUGAGCUUGAGCUUGCUUUUACAUCAUCAUAAUAGUGAAUUUUGAUACAUCUUUACUUUUCUGUUCUUGUUUAUUCACAACAAGAUAUCAAUAAAAGAAGAUGGAAAUGAAAUUCUAUAAAAUAAAGCAAGUGAAUUACCAGAAGAACAUUUUAGCAAUCCUUUGGCUAAAAUUUUCAUUUUCUUAGCAUACUCUCCUGCCUGUGAAUUGCUAGUGUGGUUCUAACAUUUCCUCGAAUCCCUGGUGAACAUAAUUAAACUCGUAUGAAAUAAAACAAAGUGGGCUAAUGUACUACUAAAAACAAUUACACAAUUACUUUAAAGAAUUAGUGUCUGUUUGGUAUGGCUUAUUUAAGAGGCAUAAGUGCUUAUUUAAUCGUAUAAGCACUUUUUAAAAAUUUUUAUGGUGUUUGGUUAUUUUUUUUGCUUAAAUAAGGUAAUUUACCUCUACUAGCAAAAGUCCAAAAUUUGAGCUUUUGGGAGUAGAGGUUAUAGAGCUUUUCUAAAAAUAUAUAAUAUAAAAAAUAUCACACAGUUUAAUGGUUCAAAAGUGAUUUUUUUAUUGACAACCAAACACCCAAUGACUUUUUUGACCAAAAGCUUUAUUAGUAUAAGCUCUGCUGCUAUAAGCUCUACUGUUAUAAGCUCUAUUUAAUAAGCUGUACCAAACAGAGCCUUAAUGUCACAUAAAUUAUAUAUAAAAAAAUACGAUUAUCAUUAUACAAGAUAAAAUUGAUAAUUUAGUUUUCAACAUUACUGCAAAUGUAUCACAGACAUUUUGUCUCUCAGCGAGUUACACAUAACAAAUUUUCGUACAUUAAAAAAUAAAUUGCAUUGGGAUUUUCUAUGAUAUUGUAUGAAAUUUUACAAAAGAGCACAUAUUUUUUUAAAGUAAAUAAAUAUAGAAAUUUCAGCAGACUACACUUGUAUUUUUUUAUUAUUUAAUUUUUAGAAAACAAGUUCAACAGAUUUGAUCACUAGGAAGUUUUACAUAUUUAUACCAAGAUUGAUUCUAUAUAGAAUCUUAAUUCAAAAUAUAAUUAUUUUUAUUAAUUUCAUUGCAAGCAACAAUGAAGUAAAUCAGAGGAGGAGAAAUUACCAGCGAGUGAUAUCUUACGGCGACCAAUUGAUGUGGGGAAUGUGGGAUAUCUUAUGCCAGUCUUCUCCUUUCCCCUCUCUUAACCCCAAAUUGUCAAUGUCUGCAGUGUCGUUGUUUGAAGUAACAACAAAGUAAAAUACAGAGAAAUUACCGGUAGGUGAUAGUAAUUGCAACCAUUCGAGAAUUUACCACUCGAUGUGGGGAAUGUGAGAUAUCCUAUGCCAGUCUUCUCCUUUCCCCUCUCUAUAACGGUUUUCAAGAAGAGGACAUCCCUCAAUACUCAAUUCCUGCAGCGUCGUCGUCCGAAGAAGGUAAUCCGGCAGCACCUUUAAUUUGGGGCAAUACCAAAUCGUCAAGGAAGAAAGAUGUGGUAUGUCUGUUGUCCUGCGAUCUUCUAGAAUGGGCAGUUCUUCCAAAUUUUCACAAGCAUGAAUAACCAGUACCUGCAGUUCCGUCGUUUGAAGAAGGUAAUCCGGCAGCGCCUUUAAUUUGUUGCAAAAACCAACUUUUAAGGAAGAAAGAUGGGGCAUGAUGGAGAUGUUUUCCUUCCUCGUAAUCUUGUAAUUCCACUCUUCCAAUUCUUCCAAUGCUACAAUUUCGAGUGAUUUCAAUUUGGGGAAGGCAAUAACUGAUGAUGACGAUGAAGAUGAAGAUGGGCCAUCCUCACUGCUUUCUUCUAUUCCCAAAAACUCAUUACCCACUCUUUUUACACUUUUCAAGUGGAUGAUUACGAGUUUUUCCAGAGGUAAUUUUCCCAAAGGAGGCAAAUGCUCACAGUUAAAACACGAGGAAAGAUAUAAAUUCCUUAGAUUGGUUAGUGAAGUCAACCAUUUGGGAAAAAUGUUGCCUCGGUAGGAUUCAAUCUCUAAUUUCUCUAAAUUCACAGGCGGUUGUAAGGCUUCAAGAAGUUGUUUAUCUUUCUCAUUCUUCCUCCUCCCUUCUUCGCCUUCCCCAUCUACGACUCUACCAAACUCAAGAUGCAAACGAAGGAGGUUUUUCUUAUUGUCUCAUCUACAUGCGAUACAUUACUCAGCCCUUCUACUCUACAUUCACGAAGGAGUUGAAGAUUUUUCAGAGAUUCAAGCCUACACGUGCUGCCACCAUCAACACCUCCACCCACAACAAACUUUUCUAAUGUUCGAAGGCUGGUCAAUCUGGAAAUCCCUAUUGGCAUGUACUUCAACGAAUAAGUUUCACCAUUCAGUAAACUCCUCAUGUUCUUUAACUUCCCAAUCCUCGCAGGCAAUUCUCUAAGACUUGGGCACCGCCUAAUAUCUAGCUUUUGUAAAUUAUAUAAUUCACACAAAGUCUCAGGUAGUCUCUCUAUACAUAGUCCAGACAAAUUAAGAUAUUUUAAAUGUAUCAAUUUUCCAACAUUUUCUGGAAUUUCUGUAAUCAAAUUUGGAUCUGAACG
rnacentral:lncRNA from 1 species